rnacentral:rRNA from 1 species
UCAAGCGUUGAAGGGCUUCUGACGGAUGCCUUGGCGUAGAGAGGCGAUGAAGGACGUGGCAAGCUGCGAUAAGAGCCGGGGAGGCGCUAGCACCCUUUGAUCCGGCUAUUUCCGAAUGGGGAAACCCACCUUUACAGUCUUCCAACUUUGCCUUCCCUCGGGAGGGUACGGAUUGGUAGGUUGUUUAAAGGUAUAAUGAGCUGAAUACAUAGGCUUCAUUAAGCGAACCCGGUGAACUGAAACAUCUCAGUAACCGGAGGAAAGGACAUCAACCGAGACUCCCGUAGUAGUGGCGAGCGAACCGGGACCAGGCCAGUGCUCUUGUGACAUAAAGGCGAACGAUCUGGAAAGAUCGGCCAUAGCGGGUGACAGCCCCGUAGCCGUCAAACAGCAAGAGACUCGAGUAGGGCGGGACACGUGAAAUCCUGUCUGAACAUGGGGGGACCACCCUCCAAGCCUAAGUACUCCUCUACGACCGAUAGUGAACAAGUACCGUGAGGGAAAGGUGAAAAGCACCCCGACAAGGGGAGUGAAACAGAUCCUGAAAUCGGAAGCCUACAAGCAGUCGGAGCCCCCAAGCGGGGUGACGGCGUACCUUUUGUAUAAUGGGUCAGCGACUUCAUGUGUCGAGCAAGCUUAAGCCGUUAGGUGUAGGCGUAGCGAAAGCGAGUCUGAAUAGGGCGCUAAGUUCGACGUAUGACGACCCGAAACUAGGUGAUCUAUCCAUGAGCAGGUUGAAGGUUAGGUAACACUAACUGGAGGACCGAACCCGUGAAUGUUGAAAAAUUCUGGGAUGACUUGUGGAUAGGGGUGAAAGGCCAAUCAAACCUAGACAUAGCUGGUUCUCCGCGAAAUCUAUUUAGGUAGAGCGUCCGACGAAUUCCUUGGGGGGUAGAGCACUGGAUGGUUGCGGGCUGCGCGAGCGGUACCAAUACUAACCAAACUCCGAAUACCCAAGAGAACUAUCGGGCAGACACACGGCGGGUGCUAACGUCCGUCGUGAAAAGGGAAACAACCCUAACCAUCAUCUAAGGUCCCCAAGUCAUGGCUAAGUGGGAAACGAUGUGGGAUUGCUUUGACAAUCAGGAGGUUGGCUUAGAAGCAGCCAUCCUUUAAAGAAAGCGUAACAGCUCACUGAUCAAGCGAUCCUGCGCGGAAAAUGUAACGGGGCUAAAGCCAUGCACCGAAGAUAUGGGUUUGCAGUUUACUGCAAGCGGUAGCGGAGCGUUCCGUAAGCCUGUGAAGGUCAACUGUGAGGUUGGCUGGAGGUAUCGGAAGUGAGAAUGCUGACAUGAGUAACGAUAAACAGUGUGAGAAACACUGUCGCCGAAAGACCAAGGGUUCCUGCGUAAAGCUAAUCUGCGCAGGGUUAGUCGGCCCCUAAGGCGAGGCUGAAAAGCGUAGUCGAUGGGAAGCAGGUAAAUAUUCCUGCACCAGCUGGAAGUGACGGAUGGCAUAACUUGUAAGGGCUUAUUGGAUUGUCCUUGCAGGGGCGUUGUCCCAGGAAAUAACUCCAGCAGAGACCGUACCCGAAACCGACACAGGUGGUCAGGUAGAGCAUACCAAGGCGCUUGAGAGAACUGUGCUGAAGGAACUCGGCAAAUUGCACGCGUAACUUCGGAAUAAGCGUGACUCACCCUGCGCAAGCAGGAAUGAGUGGCACAAGCCAGGGGGUAGCGACUGUUUAGCAAAAACACAGGGCUCUGCGAAGCAGCAAUGCGACGUAUAGGGUCUGACGCCUGCCCGGUGCCUGAAGGUUAAAGGGAGGAGUGAAAGCUCCGAACUGAAGCCCAGGUAAACGGCGGCCGUAACUAUAACGGUCCUAAGGUAGCGAAAUUCCUUGUCGGGUAAGUUCCGACCUGCACGAAUGGCGUAACGACUUGGGCGCUGUCUCAACCGUAGACUCGGCGAAAUUGCAUUAUUCGUGAAGAUGCGAAUUACCCGCGGAAGGACGGAAAGACCCCGUGAACCUUUACUAUAGCUUGACAUUGAUAUUUGGUUUGUCGUGUAGAGGAUAGGUGGGAGACUUUGAAGCUGGGGCGCUAGCUCUGGUGGAGUCGACCUUGGAAUACCACCCUCGACAGGCUGGAUGUCUAACCCCACACCGUUAUCCGGGUGGGGGACCGUGUCAGGUGGGUAGUUUGACUGGGGCGGUCGCCUCCUAAAAUGUAACGGAGGCGCGCGUAAGGUUCCCUCAGAUCGGUUGGCAAUCGAUCGCAGAGUGCAAGCGCAUAAGGGAGCUUGACUGCGAGACCUACAAGUCGAGCAGAGACGAAAGUCGGUGCUAGUGAUCCGGCGGCACAGAGUGGAAUGGCCGUCGCUCAACGGAUAAAAGGUACUCCGGGGAUAACAGGCUGAUCCUGCCCAAGAGUCCACAUCGACGGCAGGGUUUGGCACCUCGAUGUCGGCUCAUCGCAUCCUGGGGCUGUAGUAGGUCCCAAGGGUUUGGCUGUUCGCCAAUUAAAGCGGUACGCGAGCUGGGUUUAGAACGUCGUGAGACAGUUCGGUCCCUAUCCUCCGCGGGCGUAAGAGACUUGAGAGAGGCUGUCCCUAGUACGAGAGGACCGGGAUGGACGAACCUCUGGUGUACCAGUUGUCGACCAACGGCACUGCUGGUUAGCUACGUUCGGUCGGGAUAACCGCUGAAAGCAUCUAAGCGGGAAGCCCAUCUCAAGAUGAGGUCUCUCACUGGGUUAACCAGGUAAGGCCCCUCGUAGACUACGAGGUUGAUAGGCCGCAGGUGUAAGCACAGCAAUGUGUUCAGCCGAGCGGUACUAAUAGGCCGAGGUCUUGAUCUU